rnacentral:sRNA from 1 species
CUAGGUGCUGCCUGCCCUCCUCACACCUUGGUGUCUGCCUCCUCACACCUUGGUGUCUGCCUCUCCCAAAGCUGAAUGCUGGGUAGUGGAAGACGGCAUUCCCUGACAGUGAAGACCAUUAUUUCAUAAAAGGAAUACAAGUAGCUAUCCUUCCUCCAAAUAAGCUUGCAGGAAUCAAUAAGUGAAGAAUGUUUCUAAGAGCAAAGAGAAAUAUAGCAUUUUCAUCCAGCUACUCAACAGGAAGAACUGUGUCACACAAUAUUAUGC